rnacentral:rRNA from 1 species
CGGCAUGCGGACAUGCGUAUAAUGCAGUCGAGCGGACAGAUGGGAGCUUGCUCCCUGAUGUUAGCGGCGGACGGGUGAGUAACACGUGGGUAACCUGCCUGUAAGACUGGGAUAACUCCGGGAAACCGGGGCUAAUACCGGAUGGUUGUCUGAACCGCAUGGUUCAGACAUAAAAGGUGGCUUCGGCUACCACUUACAGAUGGACCCGCGGCGCAUUAGCUAGUUGGUGAGGUAACGGCUCACCAAGGCGACGAUGCGUAGCCGACCUGAGAGGGUGAUCGGCCACACUGGGACUGAGACACGGCCCAGACUCCUACGGGAGGCAGCAGUAGGGAAUCUUCCGCAAUGGACGAAAGUCUGACGGAGCAACGCCGCGUGAGUGAUGAAGGUUUUCGGAUCGUAAAGCUCUGUUGUUAGGGAAGAACAAGUGCCGUUCAAAUAGGGCGGCACCUUGACGGUACCUAACCAGAAAGCCACGGCUAACUACGUGCCAGCAGCCGCGGUAAUACGUAGGUGGGCAAGCGUUGUCCGAAAUUAUUGGGCGUAAAGGGCUCGCAGGCGGUUUCUUAAGUCUGAUGUGAAAGCCCCCGGCUCAACCGGGGAGGGUCAUUUGGAAACUGGGGAACUUGAGUGCAGAAGAGGAGAGUGAAUUUCCACGUGUAGCGGUGAAAUGCGUAGAGAUGUGAGGAACACCAGUGGCGAAGGCGACUCUCUGGUCUGUAACUGACGCUGAGGAGCGAAAGCGUGGGGAGCGAACAGGAUUAGAUACCCUGGUAGUCCACGCCGGUAAACGAUGAGUGCUAAGUGUUAGGGGUUUCCGCCCCUUAGUGCUGCAGCUAACGCAUUAAGCACUCCGCCUGGGGGAGUACGGGUCGCAGACUGAAACUAAAGGAAUUGACGGGGGGCCCGGCACAGCGUGAGCAUGGUGGGUUAAUUCGAGGCACGCGAGGACUUUACCAGGUCUGGACAUCCUCUGACAAUCUAGGGAUAGACGGUCCCAUCGGGGCAGAAGGGACAGGUGUGCAUGUGUCGUCCAGCUCAGGUCGGGAAUGUGGCUAAGUCCCGCACAGGGAACUUGAAUUAGUGGCAGACUCUAGUGGACCUAAGGUAACUGCGGGCCACCGAUGAAGUGAUAGCCUAUUCUAGGCUU